AUGGUGGGUAGCAAAAAACUGAUCCAUACACAUCUCCCACUCCAAAUAAUCAUCAAGUUCACGGUCACCGAAGAAAGGAGGGAUGGACAGUUUGACACGCCCAAUACCACCAUCAUCCAUGGGACACGAACAGCCUGCUUGCUCGGGGUAUUUAUGGGUGCGGAGAGGGUCUCCCCCCCCCCAUUUCUAGGGUUUCUGACCUCUUCUGCUGAUCUCCGCAGGCGCAGCGCCCCCAUCCGCUUCUUCCAUAGAUCUACUCCUCCUCCCCCACUUUCCCUCUCCUUCAUGGAGGCCCUCUCCACGGACAAGUCCAAGGGCUCCUCGAGCGAGGCGAUAUCCAGUAGCAAGCGUCGCCGCGAAGAUUCAUCGACGGAAGGCGUCGAUCUGGAGUACAAGGCCUCCCUCCGCUCAAAGCUGGAGGCCGACCAAGCGGCCUGCGAGCAUGUGGCUCGGGACCGUGAGGCUUGGGCGGCAGGGCCGGAAUGGCUCCAGCGCGACGAGCGGGCACGGUCUCUCGCCGGAUUUGGCCUUCCAGUGUUUGGAUCUGGUGGUGGGGUUUCGUCUCUGGUGGAUUCCUGGGAGGUGGUGGCGUCGGGUGGUGCCGUUGGCUCAACCUCGUCUGGCCCGCGUCCACCUCCUCCUUGA
rnacentral:rRNA from 1 species